rnacentral:snRNA from 1 species
AGAUGGGAGUGUGAUCUGGCUGUGAGAUAUCACUGCACUGAUUUCCUGGGCUUGCUUGCUAAGGUGGAAUUUUCUUUCCUUCCCCCUCACUGAGCCACAGGCAUCCUUUCUGAAGCUGUGCCCUCUGUCAAAGAAGAUGAUUUUUCCUAAUGAAGAAAUCUAAUUCUUCAGUCAAUCUGGUUUAUGGCUAGUUGAACUUUUCUGUCAGAAUAUCUAGAUUGACUUAGCCAGGGAAAAGCCACUUAUUCCAAAUGAUAAAUACUCAAGAUAUGAACAAAUAGUUUUCAACAGGAGAAAUUCAAGUU